UAUCCCUACGGGGCGCAGCAGUGGGGAAUAUUGGGCAAUGGGCGCAAGCCUGACCCAGCAACGCCGCGUGAAGGAAGAAGGCUUUCGGGUUGUAAACUUCUUUUCUUGGGGACGAAGAAAGUGACGGUACCCAAGGAAUAAGCCACGGCUAACUACGUGCCAGCAGCCGCGGUAAUACGUAGGUGGCAAGCGUUAUCCGGAUUUAUUGGGUGUAAAGGGCGUGUAGGCGGGAUUGCAAGUCAGCGGUAAAAUCGCGGGGCUCAACCUCGCUCCGCCGUUGAAACUGGCGUUCUUGAGUGGGCGAG
rnacentral:rRNA from 1 species